CGAUGACUUUUUCCUCGUCCAGAAGAGAUCCGCAGCCGCCUCGAGCAAUGGAGUCCGACUCCUCUUUUUCUCUCCACACGCAACCUCUCAUUUCCUCUUCUCCUAGGGUUGCGCCGCCGCCGCAGCCCAUGCCAGCUACUUCGACGCUGUCCACUGGAGAAAGCCUCCUCCCCAGAUCCGCUUCUCCCCCAAACCAUCUCAUCUUCUUAUUCCACCCGUCCGCCAUGAUUGUUGCAGAGGAGGAGGAGGAAGGGGAUGGCAAAAUCUCGGGAGAGAAAAAAGCCGGCAAGCAAGCGAGAAGGAUGUCAUGGCAGACAUACGUUGACGAGCCGCUGCUCUGCGACAUCGACGGCCAGCGCCUCACCGCCGCCCCAUCCUUGGCCAUGAUGGCACUGCUUGGGCACAGUCCGAGUCCUUCCCCGAGAUCAAACCUGAAGAACUUACUGCAGUAAUAAAUGACUUCGAUGAACCACGCACUUUGGCACCAACUGGAUUAUUCCAUGGUGGUACAAAGUCGCCAUGAAGGUAGCCAACGCACGCAACCUCCCUCUCUCUCACUUCCUCUCCCAUGUAAAGCGUGUCGCCAGGGGGAGAGCAACUGGCUGCACCGACAUCGUCGCGCCUUGAGGAAGGAGUGGGUGGAGGUGAAACUUGGUGGGAGGAGAAGGUGGCAGCAGAGUCCGCUGCAGUUUCUAUUUGUGAUCUGCCUUGACACUGGAGGCGGCAGAUCCAUCCAGUAGAAGUGGCUACCGGAAGGGGUGGAGGAAGAAGCCGUUGUGGACUAGCUAAGGGUCAGGUCAGGAGGAUCCACCAUGCCAGCCACCGGAAGAAGGGACCCUCUUGUGUCCUGCUUCUUCCCGAGCGUCAGCCACGCGGAUAGGCCGCUAGAAUGGGAGCUCGUGGACAAGAGCCUCUGAGGGCAGGUCAUGGACAAGGAUGCUAAUUAUUUAGGAUUUCACAUAUUAAUUGCAGUUCAUGUAUUUAGAGUUAGUCACAAUAUCAUCAUUUUAGAUCAAUGUUCCAUGUGUAGGCUGCCAUUGCUCAUCUUCCCCCCAAGGUUACAUUUUUUAUUUUUGAUUACCUUAAUCUUUACCAUAGAUAUGCAUUGCUAAUGGUACGACACCCUAACAAGAUUUCCAUUAUUAUUAUUUGCAAUUAUUCCACAAGGACAUUAUCAAAGGAAGUUUUCCUUAUUUAAAAAUUGCUUCAGCUCCAAAUGUUACUGUACUACUAUGUCUUUUUGGACUGAAAAUGAAGUUUCCAGGCUACUAAGGAUCGCCCUCUUCUUUGUUCAGAGAACCCAAUGUUCCAGCUAGACGGACCUGCUGGUAUUUUAUAAUCUGGUCAUUAGCGGAUGGUCUUCAAGUAAAGCUAAAUGUGAGCCACACCAAUUUCCUUUAGUUCUUGAGAAUUUUGUUGUUGUCCUUUCGAUUAACAAUCUGCCACAAUGCUAAUGACACUUGCUUUCUCUUUCUAAAAUGCAUGUGUGUUUUUCUCAAGUGUCCUCACUAUUUGAGGAUUGUUACUGUGUGACAAAGCAAGGCAAUGCAAAAAAGUGCAUGUGCUUUUCUUUGUUUAUCAAGUAGUUACUCUAAAAUACGAUAUGCCUUCUGGAAUUUUUCCCUACAAAAUACAUGUAUCAUCUCCUCAUUGAUUCUGAUCUAAUGCGGAGAUUAUUUCUACACUAUGACUGCGUUUUAUUUUCGUAUAUAUGCAUAUCGCGGCCAGAGUGAUAAGCUGGUUGCACAUGCAUCAUCGUCGUAAGCUGGAUGAGCAAGGCUAGCGACGAGAUCAUGGUGAGGAUGGACUAGCGGGCACAGGGAUCCAACAUGAGGUACAUAGAGAUCAAGGUGCACACUAUCAAGAGGCCUUCUCCAGAGGAUCUAAGACUGGACAUAUGACACUUCUGAUAAUUCAAACAACCUUUGCCAAUAAAGCAGCAUGGGCUAGAGAAAUAGCGCUAAAACUUCAUUAAGUCGAAGUAAGCAGUAUCCAUUCUAAAUGGCCUUCUUUCUUCCUCAUAUGUCAAUUGCAAACAAACAUGCUUCUGCUGAUGCUUAGAAGAAGCUAAGGAGUUUUUCUCAAUGACGGUUCUGACUUUGAUAAUUUAUUAGAAGAAAGAGUGGAAAAAAAUGAGAGGAUGCUGAAAUGACUCAAAUAGAACUACUAGAUCUCCGUGCUAGCAAGCUAAGUAUGUUCGAGGAAAUAAUGCGAUGCAAAAAAUUUUCUUGUGAUCGUGGGGAUUGUUUACAGAAUUUGCAAUUUUGAUUCGCUUCAUUGCAAAAAUGAUACUGUUUAGAUUUUAUUAGUAGAAAUGACUGUAAGUCCAACAUUUGACCAUAGAAGGUUUUAUAAUCUUCAGUAAAUAGUAUGGUAUUAUAACAUCUAGAAUUGAUGGUUUUA